AUGUCGGGAUGGGCUCCGUCAAGAAGGUUCGACCAGGAGGAGUGCAUCGAGGUGGCGUGGAACCGGGUGCGCCUGCGCGCGCUGGACCCCUCCAUGGUCGACCGCCGCCAUGUCGAGGUGUGCCUUCUCCGCUCCCUCCAUCGUGACCACAUCAUAGGCUUCCACGAGGUCUGGCUCGACCACGACGCUGGCGUGUUGAACUUCAUCACUGAGGUCUGCAACUCGGCGAGCCUCCGCGAGUAUUUCGACCGCCACAAGCACGUCUCCGUCAGAGCGCUCAAGAAGUGGGCGCUCCUUGAGGGCCUUGACCACCUCCACACCCGCGACCCCUGCAUCAUCCACCGCGACCGUACUUGCAGCAACGUCUUCAGCAACGGCAACACCGGCCAUGUAAUACCUGCGCCAAUCAAUCUCGCUAGCCUAGCUAAUUGCCUAUCCUCGCACCCUUCUUGGUUCGGACAGCCUCAACGGCGACGAGGACAACAGUAG
rnacentral:rRNA from 1 species